rnacentral:snoRNA from 1 species
ACCCUUUUGUAGUUCAUAAGCAUGACGAUUGGGUGUUCAUGCUGUUGCAUGGCGUGUGUGUCCGUCAGAUCUUGCCACAACGAUGCGGGCACAUUACCCAUCUGAUG